UCCUGGCUCAGAUUGAACGCUGGCGGCAUGCCUUACACAUGCAAGUCGAACGGUAACAGCACUUCGGUGGCUGACGAGUGGCGAACGGGUGAGUAAUACAUCGGAACGUGCCCGAGAGUGGGGGAUAACGCAGCGAAAGCUGUGCUAAUACCGCAUACGAUCUACGGAUGAAAGCAGGGGGAUUCGCAAGGACCUUGCGCUCAUGGAGCGGCCGAUGGCAGAUUAGGUAGUUGGUGGGAUAAAAGCUUACCAAGCCGACGAUCUGUAACUGGUCUGAGAGGACGACCAGCCACACUGGGACUGAGACACGGCCCAGACUCCUACGGGAGGCAGCAGUGGGGGAUUUUGGACAAUGGGCGAAAGCCUGAUCCAGCCAUGCCGCGUGCAGGAUGAAGGCCUUCGGGUUGUAAACUGCUUUUGUACGGAACGAAAAGAUCUCUUCUAAUAAAGGGGGUCCAUGACGGUACCGUAAGAAUAAGCACCGGCUAACUACGUG
rnacentral:rRNA from 1 species